GAAGGAACAGCCAAAAUCACAGUGAG
rnacentral:piRNA from 1 species